rnacentral:rRNA from 1 species
GGUUAAGUUAGAAAGGGCGCACGGUGGAUGCCUUGGCACUAGGAGCCGAAGAAGGACGGGACUAACACCGAUAUGCUUUGGGGAGCUGUACGUAAGCGUUGAUCCAGAGAUUUCCGAAUGGGGGAACCCACUAUCUUUAGUCGGAUAGUAUCCUUACGUGAAUACAUAGCGUGAGGAAGGCAGACCCAGGGAACUGAAACAUCUAAGUACCUGGAGGAAGAGAAAGAAAAAUCGAUUUCCUGAGUAGCGGCGAGCGAAACGGAAAGAGCCCAAACCAAGAAGCUUGCUUCUUGGGGUUGUAGGACACUCUAUACGGAGUUACAAAAGAAAGUUAUAAAUGAAGCGGUCUGGAAAGGCCCGCCAAAGACGGUAACAGCCCGGUAGUUGAAAUGGCUUUCCCUCCAGAGUGGAUCCUGAGUACGGCGGAACACGUGAAAUUCCGUCGGAAUCCGGGAGGACCAUCUCCCAAGGCUAAAUACUCCCUAGUGACCGAUAGUGAACCAGUACCGUGAGGGAAAGGUGAAAAGCACCCCGGAAGGGGAGUGAAACAGUUCCUGAAACCGUGUGCCUACAAGUAGUUAGAGCCCGUUAAUGGGUGAUAGCGUGCCUUUUGUAGAAUGAACCGGCGAGUUACGAUUUGUUGCAAGGUUAAGCGGAAAAAGCGGAGCCGUAGCGAAAGCGAGUCUGAAUAGGGCGCAUAAGUAACAGGUCGUAGACCCGAAACCAGGUGAUCUACCCAUGUCCAGGAUGAAGGUAAGGUAAUACUUACUGGAGGUCCGAACCCACGCACGUUGAAAAGUGCGGGGAUGAGGUGUGGGUAGCGGAGAAAUUCCAAUCGAACUUGGAGAUAGCUGGUUCUCUCCGAAAUAGCUUUAGGGCUAGCCUCGAGGUAAAGAGUCAUGGAGGUAGAGCACUGUUUGGACUAGGGGCCCUUCUCGGGUUACCGAAUUCAGAUAAACUCCGAAUGCCAUGUACUUAUACUCGGGAGUCAGACUGCGAGUGAUAAGAUCCGUAGUCGAAAGGGAAACAGCCCAGACCACCAGUUAAGGUCCCCAAAUAUAUGUUAAGUGGAAAAGGAUGUGGGGUUGCUUAGACAACCAGGAUGUUGGCUUAGAAGCAGCCACCAUUGAAAGAGUGCGUAAUAGCUCACUGGUCGAGUGACCCCGCGCCGAAAAUGUACCGGGGCUAAACAUAUUACCGAAACUGUGGAUGAACCUCUUUAGAGGUUCGUGGUAGGAGAGCGUUCUAAGGGCGGUGAAGUCAGACCGGAAGGACUGGUGGAGCGCUUAGAAGUGAGAAUGCCGGUAUGAGUAGCGAAAG